GGGUUGAUUGCCCCCUAUGGGGGCAGAUUCGUUAAUGGAAGGUGGUUAAUUAACUGCCCCCAGGGGUAAUUGGGGGGGUAAUUACCCCCUAUGGGGACAGAUUCAUUACUGGGGGGCUUUAAUUACCCUCUUUGGGGUCAGGUUCAUUAAUUGGGAGGGGUUAAUUCCCCCCUAUGGGGGCAGAUUCAUUAGUGGGAGCAGUUAAUUACUCUCUGGUGGUAAACUCAUUACCUUUGGGGGUGUUAAUUAGCCCCUUUGGGUGGAGAUUUGUUAUCUGAGGGGGAUUAAUUGCCCCCUUCAUUAUGGAUGGUGACUAAUUACCACCCUUGGGCCUUUAAUUACCCUCUUUUGUGGCAGAUUUAUUACCAGGGGCGUUAAUUACCCCUUUUGGAGGCAGAUUCGUUACAUGGAGGUGCUAAUUAAACCCCUGGGGGGAAGAUGGGAUCCCUUGGGGAUCUUAAUUACCCCCUUGGGGUCAUGAAUUACUGCUCCUGAGGGUUAAUUACCCCUGCGGAGGGGCACUCUCAUCACUGCACAGAGUUAAUUACCCCCUCAGGGGGCGGAGCCGCGGAGGAGGGGGCGGGGCCUCAUGGGAAGAGGGGGCGGGGCUUCGAGCGAAGCCCCGCCCACACUGGCGCGGUCUGCGCUGCUCCCCUCUGCGCAUGCGCCCCGCCCGCGGCGCCCUUUCCCUCUCCCUUGGGCGGGGCGGGGGCCGGCGCACGGUGGUGACGUCAGAGAGGCGGGAAGAAGAGCGGCGCUCUCCGCUCCCAUUGGUCGGUUCCCGGCGCUGCCGGGCUCCGAUUGGCUCAAACCUUCAAGCGCGCGGGGCGGAGGGGCGUGGCCGCGCAUGCGCUCUGGCGGCGGCGGCGGUUUGUUGUGGCCGCCAUUUUCUGUGGCAUUACUGGGAAAUCCCCGGGGCGCCGCCGCCGGACCCCCGGCCCCGGCCCGGCCCGGCCCGGCCCCGGCCCCGGGCAGGCCCACACCUCCCGACCGCCUCCGUUCUGCGCAGCGCCGCCGCCUCAGGUGAGAGCUUCCUUCGGGCGGGGCCUUCCCGGGCUCCGGUGAGGCCUUUCCCCGGCGCCGCGCUCCUUUUUCCCUUCCCCGGGCCCUCCCCGCUUCCUCAGGGCCGGGCCGGGCCCAAGCUUCGUUCCGCGGUUCUCUGCUCGUUGGCGGCGGCGCUGGGGCCGCUCUGGGCCCUGUGGUACCGGUGUGACCCUCGCAGGACCCGUGUAGGUCACCCGGGACCAUUAUGGGUCACCCGGGACCAGUACAGAGCCCUCAGACCAGUAUGGAUCAUUUGGGACCAGUACAGAGCCCUCAGGACCAGUAGAGAGUUCUCAGGACCAGUAUAGAGCCUCCCAGGACCAGUAUAGGUCACCUGGGACCAGUAUAGAGCUGUCAUGACCAGUAUAGAGCUGUCAUGACCAGUAUAGGUCCCUCAGGACCAGUACAGAGCCCUCAGACCAGUAUGGGUCACCCAGGACCAGUAUAAGGCUCCUGGGACCAGUACAGAGUCCUCAGGACCAGUAUGGGUCACUCAGGACCAGUAGAGGGUUCUCAGGACCAGUAUAAGGGUCUUGGGAUCAGUAUAGGUCACCUGGGACCAGUAUAGAGCCCUCAGGACCAGUAUGGGUCACCCAGGACCAGUAUAAGCCUCCCAGGACCAGUAUAGGUCACCUGGGACCAGUACAGAGCUGUCACGACCAGUAUAGGUCGCUCAGGACCAGUACAGAGCCCUAAGGACCAGUAUGGAUCACCCAGGACCAGUAUAGACCACUUGGGACCAGUAUAGAGCCCUCAGACCAGUAUGGGUC
rnacentral:lncRNA from 1 species